rnacentral:rRNA from 1 species
GACGAACGCUGGCGGCGUGCCUAACACAUGCAAGUCGAGCGAAUGAAGUUCCUUCGGGAAUGGAUUUAGCGGCGGACGGGUGAGUAACACGUGGGCAACCUGCCUCAUAGAGGGGAAUAGCCUUCCGAAAGGGAGAUUAAUACCGCAUAAGAUUGUAGUACCGCAUGAUACAGCAAUUAAAGGAGCAAUCCGCUAUGAGAUGGGCCCGCGGCGCAUUAGCUAGUUGGUGAGGUAACGGCUCACCAAGGCGACGAUGCGUAGCCGACCUGAGAGGGUGAUCGGCCACAUUGGGACUGAGACACGGCCCAGACUCCUACGGGAGGCAGCAGUGGGGAAUAUUGCACAAUGGGGGAAACCCUGAUGCAGCAACGCCGCGUGAGUGAUGACGGCCUUCGGGUUGUAAAGCUCUGUCUUCAGGGACGAUAAUGACGGUACCUGAGGAGGAAGCCACGGCUAACUA